rnacentral:rRNA from 1 species
GUAGUUUCGACGUCCGAGGCCAGACGGACGACGCUGGGCGGCGUGACCUAAUACAUGCAAGUCGAGCGCGGGAAGCGGACGGAUCCCUUCGGGGUGAUGUCCGUGGAACGAGCGGCGGACCGGGUGAGUAACACGUGGGCAACCUGCCCGUAAGACCGGGAUAACUCCGGGAAAACCGGGGCUAAUACCGGAUAGGCUUUUGCCCCGCAUGGGGCAAAAGGGAAAGAUGGUUUCGGCCAUCGCUUACGGAUGGGCCCGCGGCGCAUUAGCUAGUUGGUGAGGUAACGGCUCACCAAGGCGACGAUGCGUAGCCGACCUGAGAGGGUGAUCGGCCACACUGGGACUGAGACACGGCCCAGACUCCUACGGGAGGCAGCGAGUAGGGAAUCUUCCGCAAUGGACGCAAGUCUGACGGAGCGACGCCGCGUGAGCGAGGAAGGCCUUCGGGUCGUAAAGCUCUGUUGUCGGAGACGAACAAACGCCAUAGGAAAUGAUGGCGUCCUGACGGUAUCCGACGAGAAAGCCCCGGCUAACUACGUG